rnacentral:lncRNA from 1 species
CUUAUGACCCGCACUUACUGGAAAUUCCUCCUUCAUGGGGAAUAAUUGCAAUCCCCCAUCCCCAUCACGAAUGAGGUUCAACAGGUUACCCGCCUCUGCCACGUAGGGUAGGCACACGCUGAGCCAGUCAGUGUAGCGCGCGUGCAGUCCCGGACAUCUAAGGGCAUCACAGAUCUGUUAUUGCUCACGCUCGGGGUCGGCAUCGUUUAUGGUCAGAACUACCACGGUAUCUGAUCGUCUUCGAACCUCCGACUUUCAUUCUUGAUUAAUGAAAACAUUCUUGGCAACGCGGUCCUAUUCCAUUAUUCCUAGCUGCGGUAUCCAGGCGGCUUGGACCUGCUUUGAACACUCUAAUUUUUUCAAAGUAAACGCUUUGGGCCGCGGAACACUCAGCUAAGAGCAUCGAGGGGGCGCCAAGAGCUUUUUAACUGCAGCAACUUUAAUAUACGCUAUUGGAGCUGGAAUUACCGCGGCUGCUGGCACUAAACUUGCCCUCCAAUGGAUCUUCGUUAAAGGAUUUAAAGUGGACUCAUUCCAAUUACAGGACCUCGAAAGAGUCCUGUAUUGUUAU